UAAAAAAAUUUUUUAAUUAAAAAGAAGAGUCAACUGUAUAUUCAACAUGCGGUGUUCAUUUAAUCACUACAGCUGUCUCAUGUCAAUACUUACGCUUUUCAUUAUUACUCUGUAGGGUUGCCAAAAUAUAUUUCAAUAUAUAUAAACUAUAGCUGAGAUAGCAUGUCCUCGAAGCCCUGUGAGAGAUGAUAAACAGGGAAGCACAAUUACAGUGAUUACAAGUAAGCUUUGGGGCACCUGGGGGGCUCAGUCGGUUGAGCGUCCGACUUCAGCUAAGGUCGUGAUCUCACGGUUUGUGAGUUCGAGCCCCCCCCGCGUCGGGCUCUGUGCUGACAGCUCGGAGCCUGGAGCCUGCUUCAGAUUCUGUGUCUCCUGCUCUCUCUGCUCCUCCCCCGCUCAUGCUCUGUCUCUCUCUCUCCUUCAAAAAUAAAUAAAAACAUUAAAAGUAAGCUUUGAGUGAUUAGUAAAAGCAUAGAUAUUGAGGUCAGACAGCUAUGGUGAUUAAAAUAAUAAAGCACCUUGAACAUACAGUUGACCUUGAACACUUGGCUGGAUGAGGGGCGCCUGCUCCCCAUGCACUCAAAACAACUCACGUUACUAUUGACUCCCUCCAAACUUGACUACGCACAGCCUACUGUUGUCCAACACCAAAUCUGGGGAGAAGAGAACAUGAAAUAAGGAAGAGGGAUUAGGAGAGUGGCAGUAGAAAGGGAAAGGAGAGGCAAUUAUGAGGAACACGUUCAAGGUAGAGCCAAUAGAACUUGGUAACUGAUUUUGUGUGGGUUGAGGGAAGGAUAAAAAAAAUGUGUUCCAGCUGAUGUGAGCAGAAUGAAGUGGCAUUAACAGAAUAAUAAUUAUAACCGUAGAUACAAUUUGUUGAGUGCUGAUUGUGCUUCGGGCCCUGUGUGUCCAUUACCACUUAAUUUUAGCGACGUGACACUUAAUUUUAACAACUUUGGGAGAUUACCAUCUCCAUUCUGCAGAUGAAGAAACCAAGGUUCCUGGGAGUUGAAUUACAUCACCAAGUAUGGAUUUGAGAGCUGUCUUAUUUUAAACGCAUCAUGGAGAAUAAAGGAAGUUAAGAGGAGACGCGGCCACAGGUGAAAUAGAAUAACCAUUGGAAUCGCCUGUUUGCACUAAGGAACUUCUAGUAGGUUCCGAGGAGAAAUUGACAUCCCUUGGGCAUCGGGACAAGGGAUGGAGAAUGCUUUGUGUACCUUCCAUAUCUCAGUGGGCCUCUAGUUGUAGUAGAUGUUUAACAAAUAUGUGUGGAAAGAAUGAAUGAUGCCUGGCAAUCAUGCUGUGUUUCUUCAGACCAGUAACUGAAGUCCACUGAAUCAUGUUUCAAAGACAUGAGCCAUUAUCACAUUUCGCCACUUACCCCUGUAGUUCUCAGCCUGGUAUCGUUCUAACGUUUACAAAGUCAUCUCACCAUGUUUACCUCUGUGUCAAGGUUUAGUUUACUCUGAGGAUUCUCUCUCCAACUUCGUUAGAAACCCACUGGUACGUAUUCUCAUCUUCAUUAACGGACAAAGCAGGGUGCAAGGAGCCCAGUGCGUUCCCCGGAAAAUAAAAUGGAGAUGGGCGCCCGGCAUGGUCCCAGAAAUAAAUCCACGACCACGCAGUCUUCUGUCAUCUAAGCAGACACUCAUCUGUGUAUCUCUAUGAUUAUAGUUGAAUUGGCCUCUAGGCUUCUGUAACUUUUCAGCUUAUGUGGGAACAGAAGUUGUCCUCUGCCCAAGAGGGUCGGAACCAGAGAUCACAACCCCAGGUGGCACCUCAGGCAGUCGAUGGCCCCGAUUCCUCUGACCAAGGAUUCUUGCCUUUCUUUUCCAGCUCUACUCUUACCCCCUCAUUUCUUGCUUUCCUUCAACUUUUCCAGCCCCUUCUCCUACUCCAUUCCUCUUGCUCUGCCUCUCCUUCUGUCCACCCUCUUCCAUCCUACUCCCAGAGAUCCUUCCCUCCCCACCCAUCCUGUUUCCUUGCCUCACUGGGCAGGACAGUGCUGGGACCACCACCACGAAGCCCUGACGUCAUAGGUCAGAACACGGAGAGCCCAGAGCAGGGGUUCUUAACCGAUGAUCCAUAAAUGAGCUCCAGGAGUCCCGCGAACCCUUGGACAUUACAUACAAAAGUUGGCCGUAGGCACUACCUGCCGUUAUUUUUGGAGCAGGGUCCAUGACGUUUAUCAGAGUCUCAAGGGAUUUCAAAACCCAAAAAAGGUAACAUCAAGUAGCCUUGGGUUGUCAAGUAAAGUAAAUGGUACUCUAAAGUAAGCAUCUUUUUUUUUUUUUUGUCACUUUACUUUAAAGUAAACCUUACCACUUGGUCUGGAGAAACCAGGUGGCUCUUAGCAGAUGAGAUUUUCUAGGAAUAUCCGCCUAUAUUUCCUGAAUGGAGCGAGCUACCAGAUUGUCAACAGCGCAUUAGGACGGACUAUUGAAUGAUGGUCAAUCUAAUUUCAAUAUCAGGGCUAAAGAGCUGCAGAUACCGACCCUUGAAAGCAAAGCAAAAGGGAGGGGUGGGAAUCUGUCACGGAACAUUGACAUUGUUGUUCAAGGCACUGGGAAUAUAGUGGUAAUAAGACAAACUGGAUUCCCUGAAUUCAUUGAAUUCUAGUGUAAGAAGCAAAUAAAUAUAUGAGCUCAGAGACUCGUAAAUGCUAUGAAUGAAAGAAAGCAGGGUAACGGAACAUGGUACUGGGGAGGCAACAUCAAACAGGGUGGUCAGAGAAGAGCUUUCUCAGAAGCCGACAUUGGGGUUAAUCUUGAGUGGUGACAAGCCAGAGAUGGGUAGGUCCUGGGAAAGAGCAAUUGGGCGGUUGGGGCAGGAAGCGGGAAACAACAAAUGCAAAGGGCUUGAGCUUGGAUUUGAACUUGAAGCAAAGAAAACCAGAGACGCUAGAGCAUAGUAAGCAAGAGAAGAAAAGGAUACAUGGAUGACACCAGAGUGGGGAACACAGACCAGGUAAUGUACAGAAUUUCAGGCCAAGGUAAGGACUUGGGAUUUUAUACAAACCCACAUUUGAAAUCCACCGGAGCAUACUAAGCAGGGGAGCGAAGAUAAACAUUUAUUUAACAAAGAUUUGUUUGACAGCCUACUGUAUACGAGUCAUUUCCUAGUCAUGAGGGUCUAUGCCAGGCCCGGCCUCUGCUCUCAUGGAACUUACAUUCGAGUGAAACAAAUUAAAUGAACCCAGCAACAGGCAAACACCAGGGAAUGAUAAAUUUUAUAAAGAAGAUGAAGUCAAAAAGUGCGGCGGAAAGUGACUUGCCAGCGACUAUAGACUGAGUGCAGGAGAAAUGGCCAACACAGUGGCCCCAACUGAGAAACAAAUGCGCUAGAAUGUUUGAGGUAAGAACCAAAGACAGAGGGGCAAGAUGGGGAGAGUGGUUCAAAACUGAGGUCAAAGAAGAAAUGAAAAGGUAGGUAAGGUUUAGAUUAAGAAAAUGAAACGGCAUUGGAGGGUUUUAAACACGAUGUCUUCGUCUGUUUGAGCUGCUACAGCAAAACGCCAUAAAUGGGGCGGCUUCUAAGAAAUAGAAAUUUCUCUCUCCCAGUCCUGGAGCUGAAAGUUCAAGAUCAAGGCACCGGUGGUGUCCAUGUCUGGUAAGCGCUUGCUUCCUGGUUUAUAGGCGGCUGUCCUCUCAUUGUUCUUCCCAUGGCGGAAGGGGUGAGGGGGCUCCAUGGGGUCUCUUGUGAGAGCACACAUCUCAUUCAUGACAGUUUCACACUCAUCACCUAAGCAUCUCCCAAGGCCCCACGUUCAAAUACUAUCACGUUGAGCAUUAGGUUUCAAUGUCUGAACUUUGGAGGGACACAAACAUUCAGUAUUAACACUGGAGAACAACGUCCACUGACUUUUACUCUAAAAGUAUAAUGGGCUUCAAUGCAGAGAAUGGAUUGCUAGGGUGGAGAUGGGGUUGAGAGGAAGCUGUUUAAGAAAGUACAGCGGUAACUUAGGCCCCAAAUGACGGUACCUUGGACAAGUACCGUCGUACUAGACAAGGUCAAAAGGAUUAGAUUUGGGAUCUUUCUUUCGUAGGUAAAGCCAACGGGACUCUCUAGACGCUAUGACGUAGAAGGAAGAGGAGGACAAGGAAUUAAACUUCUGGAUUUUGGUUUGACCAGUUAAAUAAAUGGUACACCACUUACUGUGGUGGAGAAGGUAUCCACUACAAGGUAAAUAGUUGCAUUCCCACUUUACAGAUGAGGAAACUAAGCUUCAACAAAUAUGAUUCCAAAAUCUAUGCUUUAUCCACCACAGUGUCUUUGCCAGGAGUGUGGAUUAUCCAGGUUUGAUUAAUGGGCAUAGGAAAAAGGAUAUAUAUAGCAAAACAGGCAAGUAUCUUGACAGUGUACGUAAGGUGCGUGUGUGCAUGCCUCUGUCUGUGUGUGUAUGUGUGUGUGUGUAUUUGUAAUCUUACUGAGAGAAGUGUGGAUCGGCUCUCUUAUUUUUUAUCCCUUCCUUUAUCUUCUCCAUCUCUGAAAGUGGAAAGAUAGUGGAGAAAUCAGAAGACUCCAGACUUGAGACCAGCCUGUGCUGCGAGUACCAGGAUGAACUCUGACAAACUGAGCCCUUGCGUGUUGGCUGUUAUUUUCUUGGUAACAAGGCAGCUGCUGGAGCUCUCGUUCCUACAUCCACGUUAAGACAGAAGGAAAUGGAGAAUCAGCAGUUCCCAGUCCUGUCUGUCUUCCUUUAUCAGGCACUGAAGCCUCUCGAAAAACCCAAGAGGACCGGGUUGGGAGAGCUGUGUUGGUGAACGCGAGGAGGCUCAGGAGGAGUGGCAGCUGGAGAAGUCUGGAAGCCGCGGCGCCCUUUCCCCACACCUUGCCCCAGGCAUCUUCAUCUGACCCGGUGAUUCACCAGCACACCCUUUACUGAUGUAGGAAACAUCUACGCUGCAACUGUCUCUGUGGCCUAGUCUCACCUCAAAAUCUGGUCCGGGGAUCUUGAUGGAUUACUCUUUAUGAGUGAGUAGAAGAAUAAAAAGACGGUCUUCAUUCACUGAAAGUGUAUUUGCUCAUUGAAUAUUUACCAAGCCCCCAUUAUACAUGUAAGUUACUGUGUUUGCUAUUGAGAACAGACUGUUGACUGAGAUGGACCCCGCCACCUGCCCUCAUGGGUGCAUUUUGGUGGGAAAAGUACAGCGGUUGCUCUGUGACUAUGUAAUGAAGACAUGAGACCAAAUCUGAGCGGUCAGAGAUGUUUUCUUGAAGAAGUAACAUCAAGCUGAGGUUUGAAGGAUGACUAGGCAUUUAUUAAAUGGGGAGGAAGAGAAGAAAGAGGCAGAAGGAAUAGCGUGUAUGGCCCUGGGCAUGGCAAGAACACGGUGAAAUGAUGUGAAGGAAGGUGGAUGCAGAGAAGAGGGGGGAGUUGGAUGUGAGACAGGGAGAGGGAGGCAGAGACAGGCCAGGCAACGACUCAAGGCCAAGUGAGGAGUUUGAGCUUGACCCAGAAACAAUGGGAAAUCACGAAAGAGAGUGACCUGAUCAGAACGGUGUUCUUUUUUCAAAAAAAAAAAAAAAAUUUUUUUUAAUGUUUAUUUAUUAUUGAGAGACAGAGAGACACAGAGCGUGAGCAGGGGAGGGGUAGAGAGAGGGGGAGACACAGAAUCGGAAGCAGGCUCCAGGCUCCGAGCUGUCAGCACAGAGCCCGAUGCGGGGCUCCGACCCACAAACUGUGAGAUCGUGACCUGAGCCGAAGUCGGUCGCCCAACCGACUGAGCCACCCAGGCGCCCCAGAAUUGUGUUCUUAAACACACUGGCUACUUUGUGGGGGAGAGAGAGUUCGGACAUAGGGAAAAUGUUGAGUAGACCGUUAGUUUGGAGGAAUUGUGAACAGGGGCCGUGGCAAGGUAGAUGUGGAUAGAAAUGGGUACAACUGAGGAACAUUUAGGGGAUGACGCUGAAGAGGUAUUGGUGAUAAGAAUACGGGAGGCGAGAUUGCAUACUUAACCAUGAACCAGACUUCUGGUGGCCAUCAUCACAAAACAAGGGUUCGCUGCAGGAGAACCCAGUUAGGCGAAGUAGGGACAACAUAGACUCAGUUCUGAACUCGUAAAUUUGUGAAACCUUGGCAGGGGUGGUUUAUAAAUGAUUAGCAACUGGCUGUCCAAAAAGAAGAAGAAGAAAAAAAAAAUCCCUGAAUUUGUAGCGUUGGCCAAUUUCCGUAGUGUAAAAACUCCCAUCAUGGUGGAUUUCAGCCUAGCCAUCACACGACGGCCUUGAACGUGGAGUUGUGAAGAGAUGCUUACAGCGAGCCCUCAUGAGCCAGUGUAGCCUGGCUCCAGCACGCCAGUGACUGAAGAGACAUCUAGAAGGAAAUGACAAGAGGUGGGCGGAUGUGUAAUUAUUGGGCUUACAAGGAGUGGUCCCAGCCAGGGUCCGCAAUCAUCAGUGUGUGAAUGAGAAUGCAUACUUUGUGGAGUCAGAGUGUCUGGGUUGGUACCCAGACUCUGCCCUUAUUAGCUUUACGAUUGGGGGAAAAUUACUUAGCCUCUGUAGGUCUCAGUUUUCACACAUGUGAAUGGGGAUGAUAACAGUAGGUGAUUCAUAGAGUAGCUUCCAGAGAAAAGCGUAUGGAGAUGGAGUUGCCACACCUGUCGGUUUGUCGUACGCAUGUGCGAAAUGAAAUCCUUUCUUGUUGUUGUUGCUGUCUUUACCUUUACGUUUGUUUUAUUUAUUUAUUUUUUUAAUUAAAAACGUUUUUUUAACAUUUACUUAUUUUUUAGAGACAGAGAGAGAGAGACAGAGCAUGAGCAGGGGAGGGGCAGAGAGAGAGGGAGACAAGGAAUCCGAAGCAGGCUCCAGGCUCCGAGGCAUCAGCACAGAGCCUGAUGCGGGGCUCGAACUCACGAACCGCGAGAUCAUGACCUGAGCCAAAGUUGGACGCUUAACUGACUGAGCCACCCAGGCGUCCCACUUUUACGUUUGUUUUAAAUGUGCUCUCCCUUAGGUUGGUUAUUUCUCUUGAUAACUUCUCCAAGUUUGUAAGCAUGUAUGAACAUUUUGGGAUUCUAGUCUGUCACUAAGGGCUGUGUGGCCUUGAGUGGAUUACCUAAACUAGGAGUUAAAUUUCACCUUUGUGAUACUAGAUCAUGCCAGACGAACUCUGAGGGCUUUCUUAGACCCUAAACGAUAUAUGAUAUGACCUUUCGCAAAUCCUAAAAUUCUUGGUCAUCUUUGAUAUCUUUCUUUCUCUCACCUCCUGAACCCAAUUAGAUUUCAAUUCUUGUCCAUUUUGCGUCCACAGUCUCUCUCAUCCCUGACUUUUCUCCACCUCUGCCUCCAACUCUCCAUCUCUGUCCUCUGCCACUUUAUUGUAAGCUCUUGUUACUGCUUGUCAGACUAUUACGGUGGCCCUCAUCAGGUCUGGGACCACUAAAGUGGCUCCCUAGACAGUCUUCCUGCUUCCUUGUCAUUUCUCCUUUUAGUGCAUUUUAUAACAUUGCCAAUUAAACUCUCCACGUUUGUACUUACUUUUUAUUCUCAUGCUAUGUCCUUCUUUUAAGGCUAAUUCAAAUAAUAGUCUGUUCUUUAAUAUCAGCUUUUGAUCAUCUACUCUUGUGAAGUUUAUUAUUCACGCCAAUAAACACCAUCAUCAUACCAUUUCUCUUAAAUGCUAAGCGUAUAUAAAAAAAAAAUCCUGGUUCUUUUAUCAGGGUGGUUGGUGUAUAUAGAAAUUAAACUGCUUGUAGGUCUUUUUUUUUUUUAUUUUUAGAAAGACCAUUUUCCAUACACAAAAGAGUUGAAUAAACGUGGCAGUCGAUUCUUUUGUGAAGGCAGCAAGCAAAAAUUUGUCGUUUUGGGAUUUGAUAUUUUUUCAACACAAAAACACAGCCAUCGUCUUCUUUUUGUUUCAUUCACCUUGUGAGUUUUGGAUGUGUUUCGCAGGCAUAUCUGUUGUAUUUUUUUUCCUUAAGGUCAAUGGAUCCAUAAUCCAUAAAUUAAGGAAUGAUUAUCAACGUGUCAUUUUCUAAUAAUCUGCUGGUUCUGUGUUAUGACAUCACUUAAAUAUCCGAGUUGUAGUUCUGGAGACUACUUGCUUGUUUCCUCUUUGACCAAGAGAUUGGUCUCCUAAAAGUAAUUUAAGUGGAGUCGAAAUCCAAUUAACUUCGCAAUUCCAUGAACCAUAACAUCAUUUUAGCAAAUGAUUCUAGUUAGAGUAUUAGGAAAACCCAAGUCAUUGCUUGCUUCCUUCAACAGUAGAGAGAGGGGAGGAAACAAAGAGGAGGGAGGGGGGAAGUAGUUCCAAACAUCUAUUUUUCCAGUUAUUAGCCAGAGUAUUGGAUAAGACAGCUGGAGACUGAUACAGUCUUUAAGAUGUCAUAUGAUUUCUGGGCGUCUCUUUCUGUCUCUAAAAGUGGAGUAUAGGAGUAGAAAACAUGCCCAUGUGACAUUGGUCAGCUUUCAGGGUACCUCAUUCUGCAAAGUGAGAAAAAUGUUGAUUCUUACAUUGUUGUGUCUAAUAUUGGGAUACAUUUUAGGAUAAAAUCUAUUUUUCUAUUAUUAUGUUUAUUUGCAUAAUGGCAUCAGCCAUAUCUUGGACCAGUAAGCCAUUUAGAAACGCAUCUUUGAAAUCUUUGAAUCCAUGUCUUUAUUUACAUAUUUGUGUAUGUGUAUAAAUAUAGGUGUAUGUGUCAUGUCAUUCACAUAUAUACUCACAUAUAAUAUAUAGAAAGAGAGAGGCAUUGCUUCAGUGGCAGGGUGUUUUUGUUUGUUCGUUUCUAAUCUGCUAAAAUGCCUGUCUGGGAAUAAAACACUUUUUUUUUUAAAUGUUUAUUUAUUUUUGAGAGAGAUAAAGAGAGAGACAGAGUGUGAGCGGGGGAGGGGCAGAGAGAGAAGGAGACGCAGGAUCUGAAGCAGGCUCCAGGCUCCGAGCCAUCAGCACAGAGCCCGAUGCAGGGCUGACUCGUGAUCCGCGAGAUCCUGACCUGAGCCGAAGUCGGAUGCUCAACCGACUGAGCCACCCAGGCGCCCUACGAAUAAAACACUUUUUAAUUGUAUUAGCCCCUAAAUUUUUAGUGUUUUUUUUCUUGUGAAAUCAAAGUUCAGUGAACCUGAACUUUCAUGUCUUCUUAGUAGUUGAAUGUGGCAGAAUUUUGGCAUGAUAUAGUGAUAUUGAGGCAUGUAAGAAGAAAAAAUUCUACCUUCUAAAAGUUAAUUUUUUAACUAAAUAAAUAUUAAGAACAAGAACAAGUAUUUGCUCUUGUAGUAAAUUCUGCAGUGAGAAAGAAUGAAUAUCUGGGAAUAAGAUAGCGGUGUUUCUGACUUAACGUGAAAGGUGCAGUCUUGCAAAAUUUUCUGUGGAACACAUGUAUGUCGCAUGAACCUUACUUCCUUCUCUCAUAAAACCUGAGCCCCCGGGGAUAAAUAAAUGGUCUCUACGUGUGUAGUAAUGUUAAAUUUGUGUAUCAUAAUCGCAUGGUGAAUUCUUUUGAAUUAACACAUUUUUACAUUUAAAUUUUAUCCAUUACGGUUGCCGUAACUUUGAAAAGUAGACAUUUUGUCAGAAAACUUACUGAAAAGUUACUGGGGAAGUUGGACUUUCAUUAAGAAGAAUUUACAGAACCCAUGGGGCACCUGGGUGGCUCAGCUGGUUAAGUGUCUCUCUCUCUUUUUUUUUUUAUUAAAAAAAAUGUUUAUUUAUUUUUGAGGGAGAGGCAGAGUGUGAGUGGGGAGGGGCACAGAGAGAGGGAGACACAAAAUCCGAAGCAGGCUCCAGACUGUCAGCAAAGCCUGACACGGGGCUCGAACUCACAAACUGUGAGAUCAUGGCCUGAGCCGAAGUCAGACACUUAACGGACUGAGCCACCCAGGGGCCCCAAGUGUCUGACUCUUGAUUUAGGCUCAGGUCUUGAUCUCAUGGUUUGUGAGAUCAAGCCCCCUGUAGGGCUCUACUCUGGCAGCAUGAAGC